CAGGUCAGCAUACUGCCGUGAAUACGUUCCCGGGCCUUGUACACACCGCCCGUCACACCAUGAGAGUUGGAGAUACCCGAAGCCUAUGAGCUUAACUUUUAGAGGCAGUAGUCGAAGGUAGAAUCAAUGAUUGGGGUGAAGUCGUAACAAGGUAUC
rnacentral:rRNA from 1 species